rnacentral:rRNA from 1 species
AUACGAAGGGUGCAAGCGUUGUUCGGAUUUAUUGGGCGUAAAGCGCGCGCAGGCGGGCAUACAAGUCAGAUGUGAAAUCUCGGAGCUCAACUUCGAAACUGCGUCUGAAACUAUAUGUCUAGAAUGUUGGAGAGGGUAACGGAAUAUCGCAUGUAGGGGUAAAAUCCGUAGAGAUGCGAUGGAACAUCAGAGGCGAAGGCGGUUACCUGGCCAAAUAUUGACGCUGAGGCGCGAAAGCGUGGGGAGCAAACAGGAUUAGAUACCCUGGUAGUCCACGCUGUAAACGAUGAGAACUAGAUAUCGAGGGAUUUGACCCCCCCGGAAUCGAAGCUAACGCAUUAAGUUCUCCGCCUGGGAAGUACGGUCGCAAGACUAAA